GGCAAACUGACUUUCAUUCUCUGGCCCACACCCAUUCCUUUCAAACAGCAUCAUCCUUCCAACACCAAGGAAAAGUAGAUGCCUAAAGGACAGUGUAAGAACAAAUCAACAAGAGUCAGAGCAAUGUGACACCCCAACGAACCAUGUAUCCUUGCAAGCACUUGGUAUCCUAAGGAAACCAAAGUACAAGAAGAUGAUGAAUAAAUUCCCAAGAAAAUAUAUUUAAACAGUUAAAAGCAUUAAACUGUUAAUUAUAAAAUCAAAAAAAGGAAAAAUAAAAAUUUUAAAUAAGAAAAGAAUAUGAAUAAAAAAGGAAAACAGAAAUGUAAGCAACAAAGAAUACUAAAGCAAGGAAUCUUGGAACGGGAAUACAUAGGAAAGUUAACAAGAACUACAGAAAUAAGCAUCACCAACAGAAGCCAAGAGAUAGAAGAUAGAAUCUUACAUAUUGAAGACAUUGAUACAUUGAUACAUCAGUCAAAAGAUGAAAAAUUUAAAAAUUUCAUGAAACAAAACUUUCAGGAAAUAUUGGACACUAUGAAAUGACCAAACCUAAGAAUAAUUGGAAAAGAUGAAGGAGAAGAUUCCCAGAUCAAGGCCAAGAAAACAUCUUUAACAAAAUCAUAGAAAAUUCAUCUAAUCUGAAAAAAGGGUGCUUAUAAACAUAAAAAAGGGUUACAGAGCACGAACAGAUUUGACUAGAAAGAAUCUUUCUGCCACAUAGUAAUCAAAACAAUAAAUGUA
rnacentral:lncRNA from 1 species